GAUCUCAUAUGUAACUGCAUGUUGAUUCUCAUGCUGGAUUUGCAGGCGGAUAUUAAGAAGAGCAAUCAGAUAAUUCAACAGAAACUGGACGAAUUGAAGGCACAAAAAGACAUCUUUUUAGAGACUGUGAGUGAAAAUAUGAGGGACAUUUACUCAGUGAUGACAUAUCUGAAGGAAAAGGGAGAAGAAUCUGAAGACUUUCUGACACUGGAGAGAAAGAUGGAGAACCUCAAGAUCUUUGUAGAUGAGCAGAAUAAGAAGGUGGAUGCAAAAAUAGAGAAAACUGAACAGGAACUGAGAACUAUGGGGAAAAUAAUCAAAGCCCUGGAGACAUAUCAUGCUGAACUGUAACUUCCAUGUCAAUCAGUGCCUAUUGUAGAGACAAAUUUAUCAUUACCAUAUAUGGACAUGUAAUAUCCUGUUGUUUAGAGAGUAUUCUGCUUUCCUUUUGUGUGAAAGUUUUCACUUCACUGUGUACUGUCAUGGAAAACUACUGUAUAACCUUUAACUUUAUGUAACCUGUGCUCUGUAGUGGAAUACUCCAUUUACUGCCUACAUGACUGUUCUCAUGUAAUCCAAAAACAUACAGAACCGGUUCCAGCUGGCUGCCAUCCUUGCAACUGCAUACCCUCAUUUAUUUAGUUUCUAACUGACUUUCUUAUAAAUGUGCCUCUGUUGAAACACUCUGCAGACUGUAUGUCACUCUGUAUGAUUGUCUGACCCUCUGCACAAAGCAAUAAACAACUGAAAGACAUCUCUGGUGUCUCAAAUUUUUUCUUUCAGAUUUCACAUUUUAAAAUGUCCACCACAGUACUUGAACACAUUUUAUCUGUGUAUGAGAGGCUUGCUUUAUUCCUGCUCUCACAAAAGUUAUCAGUAAGCCGAAGGCCUCCGUAGUCUCCCUCUUCCCAGUUUUAUCUUCAUUAUGCGACUGCAUCUGUAGUUCUUUGUAACACAUACGAAGGACACUCCAGGUGUCGGAGGUCUAAACUUUCAGCUGAGAUAAGAUUAACUCUGUUGUAACUCUUAUUAUUCUGUUUUAUCACUUUAUUAAAUAACACAAAAGACAA